GGCGCACGGCGCACGGGUGCGUAACACGUGGGUAACCUGCCCUUUGGUGGGGAAUAACCUCGCGAAAGCGAGGCUAAUUCCGCAUAAGAUCCGCAAGGAUGAAAGCCGCAAGGCGCCGAAGGAGGGGCCCGCGCACGAUUAGUUAGUUGGUAGGGUAACGGCCUACCAAGACUAUGAUCGUUAGCUGGUCUGAGAGGAUGGCCAGCCACACUGGAACUGAGACACGGUCCAGACUCCUACGGGAGGCAGCAGUGGGGAAUCUUGCGCAAUGGGCGAAAGCCUGACGCAGCGACGCCGCGUGGGGGAUGAAGCUUCUCGGAGUGUAAACCCCUUUCGACUGGGACGAAUACCUCGCAAGAGGGGUGACGGUACCAGUAGAAGAAGCCCC
rnacentral:rRNA from 1 species